CAUUUUUAGUAUUCUCGUUUAUGAGAGCAGUCGAGUUUAUUUCAGAUAUUCCCAUUUUAAAAAUCAUCUCCGGCUAAUCAUUGAAAGAACAUUGGUGUUACCUUGGCAGAAGUUUGCGCUCUCUAAGUGCUCUUAUUAUUUAUAGUCAAGGUGG